GGCCUUCCUCUUUGGGGCGAUCGAUCACGGGGCUCCACUAUUGAUUGCCCCAAAGAGGUAGGUC
rnacentral:pre_miRNA from 1 species